AAAGAUACAUUCCCUUACCUCGAAUACUUUCAUAGUAUAUACAUACAUACUACUAUACACCCCAUCUACCAACAUGGCCCCCUGCGAAUGCAAGUGCUGCUCUGGCAGCUGCAACUCCUGCUCUUGCUCUAACUGCAAGGUGUGUACCCUCCCAAAUACU
rfam:Aspergillus niger ATCC 1015, whole genome shotgun sequence.